rnacentral:rRNA from 1 species
ACGAACGCUGGCGGCGUGCCUAAUACCUGCAAGUAGCACGCUGAAGGCGGAGCUUGCUUCUCUGGAUGGGUUGCGAACGGGUGAGUAACGCGUAGGUAACCUGCCUGGUAGCGGGGGAUAACUAUUGGAAACGAUAGCUAAUACCGCAUAAUAGCAGUUGUUGCAUGACAACUGUUUGAAAGGUGCAAUUGCACCACUACCAGAUGGACCUGCGUUGUAUUAGCUAGUUGGUGGGGUAACGGCUCACCAAGGCGACGAUACAUAGCCGACCUGAGAGGGUGAUCGGCCACAAUGGGACUGAGACACGGCCCAGACCCCUACGGGAGGCAGCAGGAGGGAAUCUUCGGAAAUGGACGGAAGUCUGACCGAGCAACGCCGCGGGAGGGAAGAAGGUUGUCGGAUCGUAAAGCUCUGUUGUAAGAGAAGAACGAGUGUGAGAGUGGAAAGUUCACACUGUGACGGUAUCUUACGAGAAAGGGACGGCUAACUACGUG